rnacentral:rRNA from 1 species
AUUGAACGCUGGCGGCAUGCCUUACACAUGCAAGUCGAACGGCAGCACGGGAGCAAUCCUGGUGGCGAGUGGCGAACGGGUGAGUAAUAUAUCGGAACGUGCCCAGUCGUGGGGGAUAACGUAGCGAAAGCUACGCUAAUACCGCAUACGAUCUAUGGAUGAAAGCGGGGGAUCGCAAGACCUCGCGCGAUUGGAGCGGCCGAUAUCAGAUUAGGUAGUUGGUGGGGGUAAAAGCCUACCAAGCCUUCGAUCUGUAGCUGGUCUGAGAGGACGACCAGCCACACUGGAACUGAGACACGGUCCAGACUCCUACGGGAGGCAGCAGUGGGGAAUAUUGGACAAUGGGCGCAAGCCUGAUCCAGCAAUGCCGCGUGUGUGAAGAAGGCCUGCGGGGUUGUAAAGCACUUUCAGUGGGGAAGAACAGAUUCGGGUCAAUACCCCGGAGCCCUGACGUUACCCACAGAAGAAGCACCGGCUAACUCCGUG